GUCUGUGCGUUUUUGGGGAAUAAUAUUAAAAGGUGCACUAUGAAUUCCUGCAUGGUCAUUUCUGUUGACUUCCCAUUUCAAUUUCAAACAAC